CAACAGUACGUGAAACCGCAUAGAGGUAAACGGGUGGAUCCGCAAAGUCGGCCCGCGGAAUUCAGCUCGGAAGGCUGCGCGCCUGCCGCCGGGUAGGAGAUCGCAAGACUCUCCUGGCGUGGGACGCGUGCCGGCCGUGUGCACUUUCCGUGGGCAGAGCGCCACGACCGGUUUCUGGGCGGUCAGAAGGCGGCGAGGAUGGUAGGCGCGCGCCUCGGUGCGCGCUGGUAUAGCCUCGCCUGUCCCGAUCCGCCUGGGGACCGAGGAGCCGCCGUGGGCUGGGGCCGCCUCGCCCUCCCGGGACGUUCGACUGGCAGAGACUGGGUGACCGUGUCUGCCGACCGCUUCCUGGGACGGACUGGGGUGGGCCCGCCCUCACAGGGUCAGUGGCGAAUCGGUCGGCCCUCCACCCGACCCGUCUUGAAACACGGACCAAGGAGUCUAACAUGCGCGCGAGUCGUUGGGUCGUACGAAACCCGAAGGCGAAGUGAAAGCGAGGGCCGUCUCUGACGUGCUCAGGUGGGAUCCUGGUCCCUCUGCGGGCUGGGCGCACCACCGGCCCGUCUCGUCCGCG
rnacentral:rRNA from 1 species